AAUUACCCACUCCCAGCACGGGGAGGUAGUGACGAAAAAUAACGAUACGGGACUCAUCCGAGGCCCCGUAAUCGGAAUGAGUACACUUUAAAACUUUUCCCGAAGAUCAAUUGGAGGGUAAGUCUGGUGCCAGCAGCCGCGGUAAUUCCAGCUCCAAUAGCGUAUAUUAAAGUUGUUGCGGUUAAAAAGCUCGUAGUCGAAUCUGUGUCCCGCGCCGCUGGUUCAUCGCUCGCGGUGUUCAACUGGCGUGUCUCGCGGGACGUCCUGCCGGUGGGCGCUCGUAUCGUUUCGGCGGUGCGUGGCCCAACUCGUAGCCGUCUCGCGCGGUUGCGAAUCCCAUCGCGGUGCUCUUUAUUGAGUGUCGAGGUGGGCCGGCACGUUUACUUUGAACAAAUUAGAGUGCUUAAAGCAGGCCAAAUUUGCCUGAAUAUUGUGUGCAUGGAAUAAUGGAAUAGGACCUCGGUUCUAUUUUGUUGGUUUUCGGAACCCCGAGGUAAUGAUUAAUAGGAACGGAUGGGGGCAUUCGUAUUGCGACGUUAGAGGUGAAAUUCUUGGAUCGUCGCAAGACGGACAGAAGCGAAAGCAUUUGCCAAAAACGCUUUCAUUGAUCAAGAACGAAAGUUAGAGGUUCGAAGGCGAUCAGAUACCGCCCUAGUUCUAACCAUAAACGAUGCCAGCUAGCGAUCCGCCGACGUUCCUCCGAUGACUCGGCGGGCAGCUUCCGGGAAACCAAAGCUUUUGGGUUCCGGGGGAAGUAUGGUUGCAAAGCUGAAACUUAAAGGAAUUGACGGAAGGGCACCACCAGGAGUGGAGCCUGCGGCUUAAUUUGACUCAACACGGGACACCUCACCAGGCCCGGACACCGGAAGGAUUGACAGAUUGAGAGCUCUUUCUUGAUUCGGUGGGUGGUGGUGCAUGGCCGUUCUUAGU
rnacentral:rRNA from 1 species